UUUGACUGAUUUAUAAAUAAUAAAAUUACAAACACAUUGGUGUGGAUUUAAUGUAUUUGUUCAGAAAUAAAUUGGCAAGUUUAUACUAGUCCAUGGCAAUGUUUAUAUUUAUUUUCUUAACCCUUUACUGUCCCGUGUGUAGCAGGAUGAGUUAAUUGGGCUCCCAGGUGUAGGCACUCCAGUCCUGGUGCUGCUAAUUAGCGCCAGGCCACCUAUAUAGCGGGACGGAGCUGGCUUCUGCUCAUUCCUGCCUGAGACUGCCUCCCUGGGUUGUACAGCCGGUGGGCUUGUGACUGGGGUGGAGGCGAAAUGAGAACGCAGCGCUCCGGCUCCUUGUGAUAUCCCCCACUGACUGGUAUGUGUGUGAUGUGUGCCUCUUCGCCCUGCAUGUCCUCUGGUUGCAGAGGUAAUGCCCUGCUGCCUAUUUUCUGGUUUGCCUCCACAGGGUGAUUGGUGGAACCUGCUGCUGCUUUGCUUUUAUCGUUUUUGCUGUGAUUUCUCUGUCCGGGUCCCACCCCCGCCACGACGGGGCCGGUUGGAGCGAACGCCCAGCUCACUGAGACCUCUCGUUGCUGUGGCAUCUCACCGUACUGUGGACGGCUCCCACCAGUUGAUCGGCGGUGGUCGGGCAGCUUACCGCCCCGGAACACUAAUCAUCUUUUUUUUAAUCUUUAUUUUUAAUUUUGUGUCUUUUAUUGAUAUUGUCAAUUUUAUUUGUUUCAGGUGGUAGGAGGCCGAGGUGGUGGACUGCUGUGUCUGGUGGUGGGUCCCAGUGAGCUGUGUGGUUUUCCAUCACGUGUGCAGUGAUUCCCAAAGGGGUGUUUGCGCUGUUCUUGCGCUGUUUUUAGCCACCUCGGUAAGCUCCUCCUCCAGAACAUUUUUAACUGACUUUUAUCAAGGAUUGGUGUAUUAAAAGGUUUCUUAACAUUGUUUUUAACUGAAUUCUAAUAAAUUAUAUUUUAAAACAAACCACAGCCUCUGCCUUGGUUUAGAGCAGGACCUGCACCUGCCUUCCUUUAAAAUCUUUUCCUGGGGCUCAGCAGCCCCAGGUGGCGUUGUCAACCCGUUUUCUCGUGCUGCCACACGUGCGACGAGAAAAUGGCGAAUAUUAAUCUGGCCGUUUUUCUGUUGGCAAUAAUUUGAUUUGUUUUUUGCAACAUCAGUCCAAAAACGAGCUGAUAUGCUACACAAGGCAGCAAGGAGGAGAACCAGGCGUCUCACAGCGGCAAGGAGAAGCAAACGUCUCAUUUUCAGAAGAUUUCCUCUGGCUGUCCUAGCCAGACAUGAACAACUUGGUCUUCCGCGUAUCUACUGCCUUCCCAACAUUAAGGUUUCUGUCCUGGCCCUUUACGCUGACGGUCAGACACAAGACCGGAUUUUCGGUUGACCCGCAGGACCAUCAAGCUCUGGAGCAGCUUCGGGUUCCUCACACUCUGGGGGGGGCACAGGAGACUGAGGUCCUGAUGUUCCUGGCUGGCGUGUGGAACAUCUUACCGUGUGGUAGCCAGGGCCUUUGGUAUGCCACGGUCCACUGUAAGUGACAUAGUCCACAGGACGGCAGACCGCAUCCUCCAGCUGAUGUCCAGGGUCAUCUGCCUUCCCAGUAGGGCUGAACUGACAUUAGUCGCCUCUCGUUUUGAGCAGCUCUCUGGGUCUGAUGCCUUCCAAAAGGUCGUGGGGAGCAUUGAAGGCUGCCACAUAAGAAUUAAGGCCCCAAAAGAAGAUCCAGCUAUCCUUUUGUUAGAUAUCCUAGAUCGGUCCAUGACUCACGGGUUCUGCGCAACAGCCCAAUUUACGCCAAUAAAACGUACCCACCUGAAGGAUACAUCCUUUUAGGUGAUGGUGGGUAUCCCUGCAUUGCGCAACCCAUCACGCUAACACCCUACAGGGAACCCCUGAGAAAUGCAGUUGAGGCCCGAUAAAACCGGCACCACACCAAGGCACGCUCUGUGGUGGAGAGAGCCUUUGGAAUGAUGAAGACGAGGUGGAGAGCCAUAUUUCUGGGGUCGUUGGAAGUUAAAUCAAAAUUUGCCGUCAAAAUCAUUGCCUGCAGCGCCAUCCUGCACAAUAUGUGCAUCAGUAAAGGGGACUGGUUGGAGCCCACAGUUGUUGAGCCACAGCAGGACAACGCCAGGAACCAGCAGGACAAGCAGAGGGGCGUCCGUCUGCGAGGACAAAUCUCUGGUUUCCUGUCAGCUCCAACUGUGCCACAAAUGGCUCUAGAAGACCACGAUUAUUAAGAUGUAUAAAAAAUAAGUGUUAAAGAUGAGAUGAAAUUGUAAAUAGUUACCUUUGAUGUUUUUGAGAUUGUUAAAAAUGAAUCAGGUUUAAAUAAUACUUGUUAAUAAUUCAUUUCUGUUCAUGAAUUUUUUUAAACAUAUUGGAACAAUAAAAAAAUUACUUUUUUUCAACAAUCUUUUCCAGAA